GGAUGCAAGCGUUAUCCGGAUUUACUGGGCGUAAAGCGAGCGCAGGCGGAUUUACAAGUCUGAUGUUAAAGACAACUGCUUAACGGUUGUUUGCAUUGGAAACUGUAAGUCUAGAGUAUAGUAGAGAGUUUUGGAACUCCAUGUGGAGCGGUGGAAUGCGUAGAUAUAUGGAAGAACACCAGAGGCGAAGGCGAAAACUUAGGCUAUAACUGACGCUUAGGCUCGAAAGUGUGGGGAGCAAAUAGGAUUAGAUACCCUAGUAGUCCACACCGUAAACGAUGGUAAUUAAAUGUCGGCACGGCAAUGUGUCGGUAUUACAGCUAACGCAUUAAAUUACCCGCUA
rnacentral:rRNA from 1 species